rnacentral:rRNA from 1 species
UCAGUCGACUCCUACGGGGAGGCAGCAGUAAGGAAUAUUGGUCAAUGGAGGGAACUCUGAACCCAGCCAUGCCGCGUGCAGGAAGACAGCCCUCUGGGUCGUAAACUGCUUUUAUUCGGGAAUAAACCUUUCUACGUGUAGGAAGCUGAAUGUACCGAAGGAAUAAGGAUCGGCUAACUCCGUGCCAGCAGCCGCGGUAAUACGGAGGAUCCAAGCGUUAUCCGGAUUUAUUGGGUUUAAAGGGUGCGUAGGCGGCUUAUUAAGUCAGGGGUGAAAGACGGUGGCUCAACCAUCGCAGUGCCCUUGAUACUGAUGAGCUUGAAUACACUAGAGGUAGGCGGAAUGUGACAAGUAGCGGUGAAAUGCAUAGAUAUGUCACAGAACACCGAUUGCGAAGGCAGCUUACUAUGGUGUUAUUGACGCUGAGGCACGAAAGCGUGGGGAUCAAACAGGAUUAGAUACCCCUGGUAG